CGUAACUUAGCUUAAUGGUAAAGCACUUCAUUUCUAGUGAAGCAGAUGCAGGUUCAACUCCAGCAGAUAUCU
rfam:Beta vulgaris subsp. vulgaris contig146562.1, whole genome shotgun sequence.